AUUGAACGCUGGCGGCAUGCCUUACACAUGCAAGUCGAACGGCAGCACGGGUGCUUGCACCUGGUGGCGAGUGGCGAACGGGGGAGUAAUACAUCGGAACAUGUCCUGUAGUGGGGGAUAGCCCGGCGAAAGCCGGGGUAAUACCGCAUACGAACUACGGGUGAAAGCGGGGGACCUUCGGGCCUCGCGCUAUAGGGUUGGCCGGUGGCUGAUUAGCUAGUUGGUGGGGUAAAGGCCUACCAAGGCGACGAUCAGUAGCUGGUCUGAGAGGGCGACCAGCCACACUGGGACUGAGGCACGGCCCAGACUCCUACGGGAGGCAGCAGUGGGGAAUUUUGGACAAUGGGCGAAAGCCUGAUCCAGCAAUGCCGCGUGUGUGAAGAAGGCCUUCGGGUUGUAAAGCACUUUUGUCCGGAAAGAAAUCCUUGGCCCUAAUACGGUCGGGGGAUGACGGUACCGGAAGAAUAAGCACCGGCUAACUACGUG
rnacentral:rRNA from 1 species